AUUGAACGCUGGCGGCAGGCCUAACACAUGCAAGUCGAACGGAGUGGCGGACGGGUGAGUAAUGUAUGGGCAUCUGCCUGAUGGAGGGGGAUAACUACUGGAAACUGUAGCUAAUACCGCAUACCUUCAGCUGGGCCUAGGUCGGAUUAGCUAGUUGUGGGGGUAAAGGCCUACCAAGGCGACGAUCCGUAGCUGGUCUGAGAGGAUGAUCAGUCACACUGGAACUGAGACACGGGCCAGACUCCUACGGGAGGCAGCAGUGGGGAAUAUUGGACAAUGGGCGAAAGCCUGAUCCAGCCAUGCCGCGUGUGUGAAGAAGGUCUUCGGAUUGUAAAGCACUUUAAGUUGGGAGGCGUUACCAACAGAAUAAGCACCGGCUAACUUCGUGCCAGCAGCCGCGGUAAUAC
rnacentral:rRNA from 1 species